rnacentral:rRNA from 1 species
UACGUGAGGUGCAAGCGUUGUCCGGAAUCAUUGGGCGUAAAGCGCGUGUAGGCGGCUCGGUCAGUCUGAUGUGAAAUCUUGGGGGCUCAACCCCCAAGCGGUCAUUGGAUACUGCCGGGCUUGAGUCCGGAAGAGGAGAGUGGAAUUCCUGGUGUAGCGGUGGAAUGCGCAGAUAUCAGGAGGAACACCAACGGCGAAGGCAGCUCGCUGGGACGGUACUGACGCUGAGGCGCGAAAGCGUGGGGAGCGAACAGG